AACGAACGCUGGCGGCAUGCCUAACACAUGCAAGUCGAACGAGACCUUCGGGUCUUGUGGCGCACGGGUGCGUAACGCGUGGGAACCUGCCCUUAGGUUCGGAAUAACUCCCCGAAAGGGGUGCUAAUACCGGAUCAUGUCUUCGGACCAAAGAUUUAUCGCCUUUGGAUGUGCCCGCGUUGGAUUAGCUAGUUGUUAGGGUAAAAGCCUACCAAGGCGACAAUCCAUAGCUGGUCUGAGAGGAUGAUCAGCCACUCUGGGACUGUGACACGGCCCAGACUCCUACGGGAUGCAGCAGUGGGGAAUAUUGGACAAUGGGCGAAAGCCUGAACCAGCAAUGCUGCGUGAGUGAUGAAGUCCUGAGGGUUGUAAAGCGCUAUUACCCGGGAUGAUAAUGACAGUACCGGGAGAAUAAGCUCCGGCUAACUCCGUG
rnacentral:rRNA from 1 species